AUCGCAAGACCUCGCGCGAUUGGGANCGGGCCGAUAUCAGNUUAGCUAGUUGGGUGAGGUAAAGGCUCACCAAGGCGACGAUCUGUAGCUGGUCUGAGAGGACGACCAGCCANACUGGGACUGAGACACGGCCCAGACUCCUACGGGAGGCAGCAGUGGGGAAUUUUGGACAAUGGGCGCAAGCCUGAUCCAGCAAUGCCGCGUGCAGGAUGAAGGCCUUCGGGUUGUAAACUGCUUUUGUACGGAACGAAACGGUGAGCUCUAAUACAGCUUGCUAAUGACGGUACCGUAAGAAUAAGCACCGGCUAACUACGUG
rnacentral:rRNA from 1 species